rnacentral:rRNA from 1 species
UGGGGAAUAUUGCACAAUGGGGGAAACCCUGAUGCAGCGACGCCGCGUGAACGAAGAAGGUAUUCGUAUCGUAAAGUUCUGUCCUACGGGAAGAUAAUGACAGUACCAUAGAAGAAAGCUCCGGCUAAAUACGUGCCAGCAGCCGCGGUAAUACGUAUGGAGCGAGCGUUGUCCGGAAUUAUUGGGCGUAAAGGGUACGCAGGCGGUUUAAUAAGUCGAAUGUUAAAGAUCGGGGCUCAACCCCGUAAAGCAUUGGAAACUGAUAAACUUGAGUAGUGGAGAGGAAAGUGGAAUUACUAGUGUAGUGGUGAAAUACGUAGAUAUUAGGAGGAAUACCGGUAGCGAAGGCGACUCUCGGGUCUGUAACUGACGCGGAGGCUCGAAAGCGUGGGUAGCAAACAGG